AUUGAACGCUGGCGGCAUGCUUUACACAUGCAAGUCGAACGACAGCGCGGGCUUCGGCCUGGCGGCGAGUGGCUAACGGGUGAGUAAUGCAUCGGAACGUGCCCAGUAGUGGGGGAUAGCCCGGCGAAAGCCGGAUUAAUACCGCAUACGACCUGAGGGUGAAAGCGGGGGACCGAAAGGCCUCGCGCUAUUGGAGCGGCCGAUGUCGGAUUAGCUAGUUGGUGGGGUAAAGGCUUACCAAGGCGACGAUCCGUAGCUGGUCUGAGAGGACGACCAGCCACACUGGGACUGAGACACGGCCCAGACUCCUACGGGAGGCAGCAGUGGGGAAUUUUGGACAAUGGGGGCAACCCUGAUCCAGCCAUGCCGCGUGCGGGAAGAAGGCCUUCGGGUUGUAAACCGCUUUUGUUCGGGAAGAAAUCCUCUGGGCUAAUACCCCGGGGGGAUGACGGUACCGGAAGAAUAAGCACCGGCUAACUACGUG
rnacentral:rRNA from 1 species